rnacentral:rRNA from 1 species
GCUUGUCUCAAAGAUUAAGCCAUGCAUGUCUAAGUAUAAAUGGUAUACAGUGAAACUGCGAAUGGCUCAUUAAAACAGUUAUAGUUUAUUUGGUAAUCGAAUUUACAUGGAUAACCGUGGUAAUUCUAGAGCUAAUACAUGCUGUAAAGCCCGACUUUUCGGAAGGGGUGUACUUAUUAGAUGGAAACCAAUGCGGGGCAACCCGGAUUCUGGUGAUUCAUAAUAAUUAUCGGAUCGAUCGUAUGAUCGAUGCAUCAUUCAAGUUUCUGCCCUAUCAGCUUUGGAUGGUAGGGUAUUGGCCUACCAUGGCAUUAACGGGUAACGGAGAAUUAGGGUUCGAUUCCGGAGAGGGAGCCUGAGAAAUGGCUACCACAUCCAAGGAAGGCAGCAGGA